UACGAAGGGAGCUAGCGUUGUUCGGAAUCACUGGGCGUAAAGCGCACGUAGGCGGAUUUGCCAGUCAGGGGUGAAACUCCCGGGGCUCAACCUCGGAACUGCCUUUGAUACAGCAAGUCUUGAGUUCGAGAGAGGUGGGUGGAAGUUCCUAAGUGUAGAGGUGAAAUUCGUAGAUAUUCGCAGGAACACCAGUGGCGAAGGCGGCUUACUGGUCCAUUACUGACGCUGAGGUGGCGAAAAGCGUGGGGAGCAAACAGG
rnacentral:rRNA from 1 species